rnacentral:piRNA from 1 species
AGGAUGUAGAAUAGUUCCCGCUGCCUAGGA